ACCCUGUUCCCAGAGUGUUGCAUGAUCCCCAGGUGGUGAGUGAUCUCUGCCUUCUUCCAAACAGUCAGAAUCUCUGAAGGGCCAGGUUCCAUUCUUGCGAGACUUCCUGAAGAAUGAAGCGCGAGGGACAGUGCAAGCAGUAAAGAGCCUACGGAACAUCAUCUGUCACGGGAAGGGAGAGGACACCAAGGUGGUCUUUUGCAGCAUUUCCAAGCAACUGCAUCCACUCAUCAAUGAUGAGAGGGACCAGGUGAAGAUCUCGGCCCCCUCUGCCCUGGGCUACAUGUUGCAUCAAGUUGACAAAAUCAAGCCUGGACUCUCCACCCGAAGAGAGAUCUACACUUUUCUAGUCCCACUGCUGCUUAGCAUUCAGGAUAACAACACCGAGGUAGUCAAGGUACUGGUGAUCUCUGUCCUGCCAAGCUCAGCCUGAUUCAUCCCUCUUUCUGCUAGAGCAUAGCCUUUGGCUCUUUUUCAUGAGCCCAGCCUUGGCUGUACAUUUUAUAUCCACCUCUUUGGUGUCAUCC
rnacentral:lncRNA from 1 species